rnacentral:rRNA from 1 species
CGACCGGCGGCACGGGUGAGUAACGCGUAUCCAACCUGCCCUUUACUAUGGGACAGCCCGUCGAAAGGCGGAUUAAUACCGUAUGUUGUCAUGUUGAUGCAUAUUUUCAUGACCAAAGGCUUCGGCCGGUAAAGGAUGGGGAUGCGUCUGAUUAGCUUGCCGGCGGGGUAACGGCCCACCGGGGCGACGAUCAGUAGGGGUUCUGAGAGGAAGGUCCCCCACAUUGGAACUGAGACACGGUCCAAACUCCUACGGAAGGCAGCAG